rnacentral:rRNA from 1 species
UACGUAGGGUGCUAGCGUUGUCCGGAUUUAUUGGGCGUAAAGGGCUCGUAGGCGGCGUGUCGCGUCGGGAGUGAAAGCCCGCUGCUUAACGGCGGGUUGGCUUCCGGUACGGGCAUCGCUGGAGUGCGGCAGGGGAGACUGGAAUCCCUGGUGUAGCGGUGGAAUGCGCAGAUAUUCGGAAGAACACCAGUGGCGAAGGCGGCUCACUGGACCGGUAUUGACGCUGAGGUGCGAAAGCGUGGGGAGCAAACAGG